AGAAAAUCAUCUUUAACGGGGACUGAAUAUCAUCUUCCUUUAACCGAGGCCACAUAUACAGAUGGAGAUGAAUGUCACUGUGAGUCUGCAGAUCUGUCAGG